GGCCCCAUCGUCUAGCGGUUAGGACACCGGCCUCUCACGCCGGGAACGGGGGUUCAAUUCCCCCUGGGGUCA
rnacentral:tRNA from 1 species